AUGCUUAGGGCUGUUUUGAAGAACAAUAAGAAAAUGUGGGAAGAAUGCUUGCCUCAUAUUGAAUUUGCUUAUAAUCGUUCAUUGCAUUCUACUACUAAGAUGUGCCCUUUUGAAAUUGUGUGUGGUUUCCUACCUCGUGCACCCAUUGAUUUGUUGCCUCUUCCAUCUUCGGAGAAAGUUAAUUUUGAUGCUAAAGAAUGUGCUGAAUUGAUUUUAAAAAUGCAUGAGUUAACUAAGGAAAACAUUGAGCGUAUGAAUGCUAAAUAUAAACUUGCUGGAGAUAAGGGUAGAAAACAUGUUGUGUUUGCACCUGGAGAUCUUGUUUGGUUACAUUUGCGUAAGGAUAGAUUUCCUAAUUUGUGCAAAUCAAAGCUAAUGCCACAUGCUGAUGGUCCUUUUAAGGUGUUAGAGAAAAUGAAUGAUAAUGCAUAUAAACUUGAGCUGCCUGCAGAUUUUGGGGUUAGUCCCACUUUUAACAUUGCAGAUUUGAAGCCUUAUUUGGGUGAGGAAGAUGAGCUUUCAUCGAGGACGACUUCAUUUCAAGAAGGGGAGGAUCAUGAGGACAUCAAUACCAUUGUUACACCCAUAGCCCCUGCUGUUAUACAUACUGGGCCAAUUACUAGAGCUCGCGCAAGCCAAUUGAAUUAUCAGGUACUUCCGUUUCUUGGUAAUGAUUCUAAUGUUCAUAAGAAUAUGAUGCUGCCUAAAUUGGAUACAUUUGUUUUGCUUACAAAUGAAGGGCCUAGCUUGGACAAGAAAGAUGAACCUUGGAGCAAGUUCAAGCAUCGAGAUGAUGGCAUGCGCAAGGGGAACAAGAAUGGAGUUACAAGUGAUGAUUCCAGGACUUUGAAGCCACCAUAA
rnacentral:rRNA from 1 species